rnacentral:rRNA from 1 species
UGACGGUAGCCAACGAAUAAGCCACGGCUAACUACGUGCCAGCAGCCGCGGUAAUACGUAGGUGGCGAGCGUUGUCCGGAAUUAUUGGGCGUAAAGAGCAUGUAGGCGGUUGCUUAAGUCUGGAGUGAAAAUGCGGGGCUCAACCCCGUAUGGCUUUGGAUACUGGGCAGCUUGAGUGCAGGAGAGGAAAGGGGAAUUCCCAGUGUAGCGGUGAAAUGCGUAGAUAUUGGGAGGAACACCAGUGGCGAAGGCGCCUUUCUGGACUGUGUCUGACGCUGAGAUGCGAAAGCCAGGGGAGCAAACAGGAUUAGAUACCCUG